CCAAAAAUCUCUUGGGAGGGGAAAACCUGGAGAUCUCUGUGUGAUCAGAAAUUCCUUGGGAGGGGAAAACCUGGAGAUCUCUGUGUGACCAAAAAUCUCUUGGGAGAGGAAAACCUGGAGAUCUCUUUGUGACCAAAAAUCCACUGGCACAGGAGAAGCUGGAGAUCUUUAUGACUCAUUUUUGUGACCAGAAAUCCCUUGUCACAGGAGAGCCCAGAGAUCUCUUUGUGACCAGAAAUCCCUUGGCACAGGAGAGCCCAGAGAUCUCUUUGUGACCAGAAAUCCCUUGGCACAGGAGAGCCCAGAGAUCUCUUUGUGACCAGAAAUCCCUUGGCACAGGAGAACCCAGAGAUCUUUGUGACCAGAAAUCCCUUGGCAUGGGAGAGCCCAGAGAUCUCUUUGUGACCAGAAAUCCCUUGGCCCAGGAGAGCCCAGAGAUCUCUUUGUGACUUGUUUUCCUUCGGGCUCGCUGGCGGGUGACACAAGUGGAAAGUGGAGCUAUUAAUGAGCAGCUCUGCAGGGAAAGGGAAUUCGUGUCCUGUGGAUCAAAGGAAUUUGCUGGGGUUGGUGGCAUUGCCUUCAAGCUUCCCUGGCCUCAGAGGCUGUUUUAACCCCUUGCUAGCAGCGGGCUCUGCUCCAGACACGGAAUAUCUGGAAGCACUUGGCACGGCCUGCAGGAAUCUGGUUUAGUUCUCGGAGCCCAGCGUUUGACAUGCAAUUAAAAGGCUGCGAGCUUUGCUCACCCUUAUAAA